GACGAACCGUGCGAACGUUAUUCGGAAUCACUGGGCGUAAAGCGCGUGUAGGCGGCUACGUGUGUCGGGCGUGAAAUCCCAUGGCUCAACCAUGGAAGUGCACCCGAAACUGCGUAGCUAGAGUCCUGGAGAGGAAGGUGGAAUGCUUGGUGUAGAGGUGAAAUUCGUAGAUAUCAAGCGGAACACCGGUGGCGAAGGCGGCCUUCUGGACAGUGACUGACGCUGAGACGCGAAAGCGUGGGGAGCAAACAGG
rnacentral:rRNA from 1 species